UGAAAAUGCAUAAAUUUAUAUGGGUGGGGUC
rnacentral:piRNA from 1 species